rnacentral:rRNA from 1 species
AAAUGAAUAGACGGGGCCCCGCACAAGCGGUGGAGCAUGUGGUUUAAUUCGAUGCAACGCGAAGAACCUUACCUAGGUUUGACAUGCAUCUGACUGGUGUGGAAACACACCUUCUCUUCGGAGCGGAUGCACAGGUGCUGCAUGGCUGUCGUCAGCUCGUGUCGUGAGAUGUUGGGUUAAGUCCCGCAACGAGCGCAACCCUUGUCCCUAGUUGCUAACAGGUAAAGCUGAGCACUCUAUGGAGACCGCCGUCGACAAGACGGAGGAAGGUGGGGAUGACGUCAAGUCCUCAUGGUCCUUACGCCUAGGGCUACACACGUGCUACAAUGGACAGUACAAAGGGUCGCAAUGCCGCGAGGUGGAGCCAAUCCCAAAAAGCUGUCCUCAGUUCGGAUUGCAGUCUGCAACUCGACUGCAUGAAGGUGGAAUCGCUAGUAAUCGCUGAUCAGCAGGCAGCGGUGAAUAUGUUCCCGGGGCUUGUACACACCGCCCGU